UACGUAGGGGGCAAGCGUUGUCCGGCUUUAUUGGGCGGAAAGAGCGUGUAGGCGGUCAGGUAGGUCCGUUGUGAAAACUCGAGGCUCAACCUCGAGACGCCGAUGGAAACCAUCUGACUAGAGUCCGGAAGAGGAGAGUGGAAUUCCUGGUGUAGCGGUGAAAUGCGCAGAUAUCAGGAAGAACACCCGUGGCUAAGGCGGCUCUCUAGUACGGUACUGACGCUGAGACGCGAAAGCGUGGGGAGCGAACAGG
rnacentral:rRNA from 1 species